GAUAAACCAAAAAAAUUAAAAGAGUUUUUAAGCUAAUUUACAAACAUUAUCAAUUGACCUAA
rnacentral:tRNA from 1 species